AACGAACGUUAGCGGCGCGCUUAACACAUGCAAGUCGAACGAGAAAGCACCUUCGGGUGUGAGUAAAGUGGCGAACGGGUGAGUAUCACGUGGGUUAUCUGCCCUUUGGUGAGGGACAACACUUCGAAAGGAGUGCUAAUACCGCAUAAGUCGGCUUCGGCCGGGAAAGACGGCUUCGGCUGUCGCCAGAGGAUGAGCCCGCGGCCCAUCAGCUUGUUGGUAGGGUAAUGGCCUACCAAGGCUACGACGGGUAGCUGGUCUUAGAGGACGAUCAGCCACACUGGAACUGAGACACGGUCCAGACUCCUACGGGAGGCAGCAGUGGGGAAUAUUGCGCAAUGGGCGAAAGCCUGACGCAGCGACGCCGCGUGGGUGAUGAAGGCCUUCGGGUCGUAAAGCCUUGUGGGAGAGGGACGAACAACCCAGGAGAAUAAUACCUCCUGGGUCUGACGGUACCUCUCAGAA
rnacentral:rRNA from 1 species